rnacentral:rRNA from 1 species
CCUACGGGAGGCAGCAGUGAGGAAUAUUGGUCAAUGGACGAGAGUUUGACCCAGCCAAGUAGCGUGAAGGAUGACUGCCCUCUGGGUUGUAAACUUCUUUUAUAAAGGAAUAAAACGAGGCACGUGUCCCUUUUUGCAUGUACUUUAUGACUAAGGAUCGGCUAACUUCGUGCCAGCAGCCGCGGUAAUACGGAGGAUCCGAGCGUUAUCCGGGUUUAUUGGGUUUAAAGGGAGCGUAGAUGGGUUGUUAAGUCAGUUGUGAAAGUUUGCGGCUCAACCGUAAAAUUGCAAUUGAUACUGGCAGUCUUGAGUACAGUUGAGGUAGGCGGAAUUCGUGGUGUAGCGGUGAAAUGCUUAGAUAUCACGAAGAACCCCGAUUGCGAAGGCAGCUUACUAGACUGUGACUGACAUUGAUGCUCGAAAGUGUGGGUAGCAAACAGGAUUAGAUACCCUAGUAGUC